rnacentral:rRNA from 1 species
UACGAAGGGGGCUAGCGUUGUUCGGAAUUACUGGGCGUAAAGGGCGCGUAGGCGGUGUGUCAAGUCAGGCGUGAAAGCCCCAGGCUCAACCUGGGAACCGCGCUUGAGACUGGCACGCUAGAGUUCGGGAGAGGAUGGUGGAAUUCCCAGUGUAGAGGUGAAAUUCGUAGAUAUUGGGAAGAACACCGAUGGCGAAGGCAGCCAUCUGGACCGACACUGACGGCUGAGGCGCGAAAGCUAGGGGAGCGAACGGG